rnacentral:snRNA from 1 species
AUCGCUUCUCGACCUUUUGGCCAAGAUCAAGUGUAGAUCCUGCUCUAUCUAAGGCAGGGGUCCUCAAACUAUGGCCCGCAGGCCACAUGCAAAUACAAAUAUUGUAUUUGUUCCCGUUUUGUUUUUUUACUUCAAGAAAAGAUAUGUGCAGUGUGCAUAGUAAUGUGUUCAUAGUUUGUUUGUUUUUUUUAAACUAUAGUCC